UUAUAGGAAAGAAAUGAGGCCAAGAAAAGGCAUACAGGUCUGCUGAAAAAUAUCCACAAUGAACUAUUGAAUUUAAAGAAAACGGAAGAAAAGACGAGUACGACAGAAAAGAGAAUGGUUUCAAGUACAUUAAAGGUUUUGGCAGACAAGGGGAGGCAAUUAAUUGAUAGGAUAAUGAAGUGUUUCCAAUGGUUUUAGAUUUAAAGAAAGUGACACACCC